rnacentral:rRNA from 1 species
UGUUGCCUACGGGGCGCAGCAGUCGGGAAUAUUGCGCAAUGGAGGAAACUCUGACGCAGUGACGCCGCGUAUAGGAAGAAGGUUUUCGGAUUGUAAACUAUUGUCGUGAGGGAAGAAGAUGACAGUACCUCAGGAGGAAGCUCCGGCUAACUAUGUGCCAGCAGCCGCGGUAAUACGUAGGGGGCAAGCGUUAUCCGGAUUUACUGGGUGUAAAGGGAGCGUAGACGGCGAUGCAAGUCUGAAGUGAAAGGCGGGGGCCCAACCCCCGGACUGCUUUGGAAACUGUAUGGCUGGAGUGCAGGAGG